rnacentral:tRNA from 1 species
GCCCUCGUAGCUCAGCGGAUAGAGCGUCUGCCUCCGGAGCAGAAGGCCACAGGUUCGAGUCCUGUCGGGGGCACCA